rnacentral:rRNA from 1 species
UACGUAGGUGGCAAGCGUUGUCCGGAAUUAUUGGGCGUAAAGCGCGUGUAGGCGGCUUGUUAAGUCGGGUGUGAAAGCCCCCAGCUCAACUGAGGAAGGGCGCCCGAAACUGGCGAGCUUGAGUGUCGGAGAGGAUGGCGGAAUACCCCAAGUAGAGGUGAAAUUCGUAGAUAUGGGGUGGAACACCGGUGGCGAAGGCGGCCAUCUGGACGACAACUGACGCUGAGACGCGAAAGCGUGGGGAGCAAACAGG